UAGAAUUUGGUGUAAUUGGGGGCACGAAGAGUUUUGGAUUCUUAGGAGUAGGUUCGUUUCCUUUAGUUCUAG
rnacentral:tRNA from 1 species